rnacentral:lncRNA from 1 species
AAGGGCUCUAAAGAAUGGAAGCCAGCCAGAAGUGCCGUGAAUCUGAUAAAGAUAUCAGCAAGUGACGUUGAGAAGAUAGUGAUCUCGCAGUCAGGCAACUUACUCUCACCUUUAUGUUCUCCAUUUAACACCACGUAAAUCAACAGUCUUCAACUUUCAAAACUCUGAGAUUGAAACUCACGCAUCAUACAUUCUCUUCAACCGAUCAACCAACACAUUGACUUCAUCCUCAAAAAAAGUUUCAAUCGAGACACAUCAUCAAUAUUAGUUCAGUUCCAUGGAACCCCACUAGACAUUGCAUUGAGGGUCUAAACUCUGUGUUUUUUUUUUUUAAGUAGUGUAUAUGCUGCACGUAUAAUGUACGUAGAUACACACAUGCACAUGUAUAAUUAAUCAUGGAUUUGAAAUCUGUUCCCGCAGUUAUGGAUCUAAUCUGCAAUUAUAUUAGUUAAUCG